UCGGGAAUUUUGGGCAAUGGGCGAAAGCCUGACCCAGCAACGCCGCGUGAAGGAUGAAGUAUUUCGGUAUGUAAACUUCGAAAGAAUAGGAAGAAUAAAUGACGGUACUAUUUAUAAGGUCCGGCUAACUACGUGCCAGCAGCCGCGGUAAUACGUAGGGACCAAGCGUUGUUCGGAUUUACUGGGCGUAAAGGGCGCGUAGGCGGCAAUUCAAGUCAUCUGUGAAAUCUCCGGGCUUAACUCGGAACGGUCAGAUGAUACUGCUUUGCUAGAGUGCAGAAGGGGCAAUCGGAAUUCUUGGUGUAGCGGUGAAAUGCGUAGAUAUCGGAAGGAACAUCGGUGGCGAAGGCGUCUACCUGGCCUAAUACUGACACUGAGGCACGAAAGCGUGGGGAGCAAACAGGAUUAGAUACCCAAGUAUUCCCUGAGCGGGCUGGCAAGGCGCAU
rnacentral:rRNA from 1 species